rnacentral:rRNA from 1 species
GACGAACCGGACAAACAUUAUUCGGAUUUACUGGGCUUAAAGGGUACGUAGGCGGCAUUGUAAGUUGGGUGUGAAAUCCCUCGGCUCAACCGAGGAACUGCGCCCAAUACUGCAAUGCUCGAGGAAGACAGAGGUAAGCGGAACUGAUGGUGGAGCGGUGAAAUGCGUUGAUAUCAUCAGGAACACCGGUGGCGAAAGCGGCUUACUGGGUCUUUUCUGACGCUGAGGUACGAAAGCUAGGGGAGCGAACGGG